AUGUGGAAUGAUGAUCUCAAAGUCACUAUUCAUGCUGCUUCCUUCCACUAUAUAUUAGCUAUUGUACUUCAUGUAACCACUGGUGUCCAAUUUUGUUUGGUCUGUAUAUAUGGUGAUCCCUAUCAUAGACAAACUACUGCCAUUUGGAGUGAGAUUUCAACUUUUGUGUAUGAUAAUCUGGGUCUGCCCAUGAUGUGUAUGGGAGACCUUAAUGACAUCUUGUAUGAUACGGAUGGUUGUAACGGCAAUGUUAACUAUUAUCGUAUGAAUGUUUUC
rnacentral:rRNA from 1 species